UACGUAGGGGGCGAGCGUUGUCCGGAUUCAUUGGGCGUAAAGAGCUCGUAGGCGGCUUGGCAAGUCGGGUGUGAAAACUCCAGGCUCAACCUGGAGACGCCACCCGAUACUGCCAUGGCUUGAGUCCGGUAGGGGACCACGGAAUUCCUGGUGUAGCGGUGAAAUGCGCAGAUAUCGUCUGGAACGCCGAAGGUGAAAACAGCUCGCUGGGGCUGCGCUGACGCUGAGACACGAAAGCCAGGGGAGCGAACGGG
rnacentral:rRNA from 1 species